rnacentral:rRNA from 1 species
CCUACGGGAGGCAGCAGUGAGGAAUAUUGGUCAAUGGACGGAAGUCUGAACCAGCCAAGUAGCGUGCAGGAAGACGGCCCUAUGAGUUGUAAACUGCUUUUGUACAAGGGUAAACCUGAAUACGUGUAUUCAGCUGAAAGUACUGUACGAAUAAGGAUCGGCUAACUCCGUGCCAGCAGCCGCGGUAAUACGGAGGAUCCAAGCGUUAUCCGGAUUUAUUGGGUUUAAAGGGUGCGUAGGCGGAUUGUUAAGUUAGAGGUGAAAGGUUGGAGCUUAACCCGGGAACUGCCUCUGAUACUGGUAGUCUAGAGUGUAGUUGAGGUAGGCGGAAUGUGUGGUGUAGCGGUGAAAUGCUUAGAGAUCACGCAGAACCCCGAUUGCGAAGGCAGCUUACCAAUCUAUGUCUGACGUUGAGGCACGAAAGCGUGGGGAGCAAACAGGAUUAGAUACCCGGGUAGUC